UACGUAGGGGCCUAGCGUUGUCCGGAAUUAUUGGGCGUAAAGAGCUCGUAGGCGGCUUAGUAAGUCGGGUGUGAAAACCCCAGGCUCAACCUGGGGACGCCACCCGAUACUGCUAUAGCUAGAGUCCAGUAGGGGAGUGUGGAAUUCCCAGUGUAGCGGUGAAAUGCGCAGAUAUUGGGAGGAACACCAGCGGCGAAGGCGGCACUCUGGGCUGGUACUGACGCUGAGGAGCGAAAGCGUGGGGAGCGAACAGG
rnacentral:rRNA from 1 species